UACUCAUAUUGUUAUUUUAAGCUAGGUUUUGCUACCAAUUUCUGUUUAAGGUAGAAGAAUAUAAGAAGGCUUCGACCUGCUCUGUUUCGCGGUUAUGCCAAAAACUCAACUAUCAAAAUCUCUCUUUACACCAAUCCUCCGUAGUUGUCCUUUUUUUCUAUCGUCAAUUCCUUCUAUUUGAUGUUCGUUUGCCAAUUCCGAUCGGUAAGAACACAUUAUUUUUUUGUUGAUAUAUAUAUAUAUAUAGGGUUGUGAUUUGUGAAUUAGGGUUUCAAUUAAAAAAUCGAUUUCUAAAGGUUUCCUAGUCCAAUCAAAACGUGUAUUUAUAUAUAUAUAUAUAUAUAUAUAUAUAUAUAUAUAAUUUCUUUUCUUUUCUUUUUUUAUAAUUAAUUUUAUCUUUUCCACCUCAAUUGGAUAUGUCUUAUUUGAAAAAAAAGCAAAAUUUUUGUUAAUUGUUUUCUGAUCUACUUAACCCUACUGGGUAUUUUAUUUGCCGUCAAAAGUAAGUAAAUAGAUCCGAAAAUGCGAGUUUUUUUGUCCUACAAUCUUACUAUCCUCUGAUUUAUCUUUUUCAAUAGUUUUUAUCGAGUGCGGAUGUAGGGUGGUAGUGGGUUUGAGUCCACUGGAUUUUUUUUUUGACUGCUUCAAAAUUAGUCGACCAAUCAAGUCCAUGUCAAGUUAGUCAACUCAUUCAUCAUACUAAAAUAAAGGUCCAAGCCAAAUAAGCCCAGGGUCGGCCCUGACCCAAGGCGACAAAGGUGGUCGCCUAGGGGCUCAAAAUUUUUAGGCCCAUGGAUGAUGGGCCACCAGGAAAAAAAAAAAUUUUUAGGGCACAUCAUUUCAGCCUCCCCAAUCGCCUCCAACUCUAUUCUCGUUCUCAACUCUGAACUUGCCUUCUCUCUCUGCAACUGCAAACUUCAAAAUCUACAAGAAUCAGAAGUUCAAAACCCAUAUAUUUCAGUUUAUCUAUCUUUCGGCAAGAAUUAAGAGUUCAAAACCUAUUACCUAUAUCAACACCCAUAUCAGAUUGUUCAAAAAAUCAAAACCCAUAUCUUUCAGUUUCCAUCGCCUGCUGUUCCAGUUCGGGUUCGCCGUUCGCAAGCUUCAGCCGCUGGCUCUCAACUCUCAAGCUUGCCCCCCCUCUCUCUGCCACUGCUAAGUUGUUUGUAUGGGUUUUGUUUUAAAUUUUUUUUUUCUUUCUAAAUCAACUAAUCAAGGUCUGUAAUUCUUGUUUUGGAAACUAAAUCCUAUUUGGGAGAAAUUUUUUAUGAUCUUUUUCAUAUAAUUUUUUUUCCCCACACAAUAUAAAGGAACAAAAUUUGCAUUGCAUUUUGAGGUGAUCACCGUAAUCUGCAUUUUAUUUUAUUUUAUUCUUCUUAUUAUUAUUUUGUCAAUUAUGACUACAAGAAAAUUUGAAUCUGGGCAUGAAAAAAGAAAAAAAAAAAAGAAUCUGAAUUGGAUUAGAAAUCUGCAGAGAUUGAAUCUGAAACAAUUUUUAUCAACAUGCCAAGCUUUUUGAAGAUGGAAAUCUUUUCAGAAUUAAAAAAAUAAAAAUCAUAACAAGAACUUUGACAAGCAAAAGUACAUAAUAUAGGGUAAAGCUCUAAAGUUGCUUCUUGAAAAUUAAAAUACUUACAAAAAGCAUGCUUUUGAGUGAAUUCCAUAGUGUUGGAAGGGGCUUGCGGCUAGUAGAUUCUCAAAUAGGAUUAGUAAAUUGGUCAAAAGAAGAGAUAGGGUACUGAGUGGUGAAUUGUUCAGAAAUAAAUUGGUAAUUUUUUUUAUUAAUUACCCAAAUUGGAUUUUCUAUGCCUUAAAUCAGUCAAUUGUUUAAAGAAACAUUGUUAAUUAACUAAAAUUGAAUUAAACUAACAGUUGAUUUUGGUUGAUAUAUUUUGAUUUAGCCCGCACCAUUGAGGAAUCCUGGAUCCGCCCUUCGUUUUUAUUCAAACCUCAAUAGUUAGAUUUUGAAGGUUUUGCUCCAAUCUAGUCCUUUUAAACUUACUAAGCUAAUCUUAUAGCUAUAGAUUUUUUUGGCAAGUCUUGUAGCAAUAGAUUUACAAGGGGUACUCAUUGACUUUUGCUUCUACAAGUAAAUAGUAUAAAGGUUUGGCUAUGCACCUUUCUCCUCACUCCCUCCAUUAAACACUGGUUUUUGUUUGAGAGGCUGGUCUAUUACCAUUUAUAUGGCUUGAUUGGUAACAUGUAUAUGCUGAUGGAGUAUGGGGUGUGCUGUUGAUUGAGAAACAUGUACAUGUUUUGUUUGAGAUAUUGGUUUAUUUCCUUAGUCAACCUUUUUCUUUUUAAAACUUUUUUUGGGUGGUAUUUUUGUUAUUAGCUUGUUACACUUCUUUGGGUUUUUUUCUUUGUUUUUCUGUUCUAGCAGAAACGUUUUAGAAUUAGAGUUCUUGCAAUUUUGAUAGCACAUGAGAUUAGUUUUGCAAUUGUUUGAUCGUUCUGUGGAUACUAAUAUCCUAAAACAAAUUAUAGGGAAAAAAAAAUAUUCAAAGCCUAAUAUUUUACAUAUAAAUAUGAUUUUUAUGCACUUGUUAUAUAUAAGGUUUUAGAUAAAUAUGUGAUUUUUAUAUAGGCUUGUAUAAAAGUCUUUUGCAAACGCUAAUCUUUGCAGCUGCCUCCCUUCUCCCCUGAGUAGUUGACGUCGAAGUGGAAGAGAAAGAAAAGUGGGGUGGAGUUUUUCUUGUUUUUGGGGAUUGGAUUAAAGUUUUGGCUCUAACAACUAUCAAAGGGUCAACGAGCAUUAUGCCUCCUCAGUCCUCAGGAACUUAAUUUCAUUGCUCCUCUCAUUUCUUUAAUUGGCAUUUUAAGGUUUACUGAGAAAAAAAUCUCAUGGGAAUGGGUGGAGUGGGCAAAAGAUAGCCGAUAGGUGCACAAGCAGCAUAUAGAUUUCUAAGAAACUUGGAGUCCAGCCUAGGAUCUAAUUUGAAGGUCCAUGUGUUGAAAUCGGGAACACUGAAGCCUACACAUGCAUGUGCAGGUGGUUGUGAACGGACAGGAUGAGAGUGCGCUGCUCCAACAACACAAUUCACAGACCGGAAUAAGCCACAUAGGUCAAUGUAGUGGCCGGAACCGUCGAGAUGUUGAUGAAAGGCUAUCAGUUGGCUUCCUAAAAAAUUGGUAAUGCCGAAGAAGUUGAGGACGCUCCCAAAAUGAUAGCAGCGAUGAAUCAAAGGCUCAACAACAUUGAAGCCUUGUUGCUUGAGAUGGCCGGCCGUCAACAGCCUAUGACUAAGGGUGGUGCCGUAACUGGUCCCGCCAAACAGGGAUCAUGUGCUAAGGAAAAUGGUGGUUUUGGAAAUGGUCAGAAACAACGGAGGAAAUGGUGGUGUCGGGAAUGGUCCCACACAGGGGAACGGUACUGGAAAUGCUCCUAACGGCAAUGAAUGGGACGGGAUUGACUGGUCAGAUGUAGUCUGAGCCUCCGAGGAUAGUCCUUGAUUGGUGCCGGAAUUGGUCCCGCCAAACAGGGAUCAUGUGCUAAGGAAAAUGGUGGUUCUGGAAAUGGGUUAGAAACAACGGAGGAUUUGGUGGUGCUGGGAAUGGUCCCACAAAGUGGAAUGGUACUGGAAGUGCUCCCAACGGCAAUGACUGGGACGGGAUUGACUGGUCAGAUGUAGUCUGAGGAUGGUCUUUGAUUGGUGCCGGAACUAUUCCUGCCAAACAGGGAUUAUGUGCUAAGGAAAAUGGUGGUUCUGGAAAUGGUCAGAAACAACGGAGGAAAUGGUGGUGCUGGGAAUGGUCCCACACAAGGGAACGGUAUUGGAAGUGCUCCCAACUCAACGACGAUGAUUUACAGUGAAUUGCCUAACCAACGACGAUGAUUUGCAGUGAAUUGCCUAACCAAAUAAAUUUUUAAUUGACUAUUUAUACCAAAUAUAACUAAGUGGAGGGUUUUAUUUAUUUGUUGCAUAAUUGACCAAUUAAAAGAGUAGGUCUAGCAACCACUCAAAAAUGCAUGUAUGGAGUUUCAUGAUAGAUUGAACUUUAAAGAAAACUUAGUAAUAUGUUGCUACUUCUUUUGGUAAACGCCACAUGUGCUUUUUUAUUUAUUUACUUAUUUGUUACUUUUUAUUUUCUUGCAAGGCUGUUUAAAACUCUUUCUAAUUUAAAACCCAUUUAUACAAUUUUUUAUAGUUUCUGAAGGGGAAAAAAAAAAAAAAAAAAAAAAAAAAAAAAUGAAUAAUUCAUUUAAUUUAUUUGAUUUUAUUUAGCAUUAAAUAUUCUUAGGAGUGGGAUGAACACUAAAUUAUCAUUUUAUUGACAACAUAGUGUGUUACCACGAGGUUGCACCAUCUUUAGUAUGGUCACACUCUGCAAAAUGAUAUAAAAAAGAAUGUACAACCAAACGAGCCCACAACAUAGGCAAGCCCGGAACAAAAGUUACAACCCAAAACAUUGAGUCCA